UACGUAGGGUGCGAGCGUUACUCGGAAUUACUGGGCGUAAAGUGUGCGCAGGCGGCAGAGCAAGUCGAGUGUGAAAGCCCCGGGCUUAACUUGGGAAUUGCGCUCGAAACUACUUUGCUGGAGUGUGGCAGAGGAAGGUGGAAUUCCACGUGUAGCGGUGAAAUGCGUAGAGAUGUGGAGGAACACCAAUGGCGAAGGCAGCCUUCUGGGCCAACACUGACGCUCAUGCACGAAAGCGUGGGGAGCAAACAGG
rnacentral:rRNA from 1 species